rnacentral:rRNA from 3 species
UCGCGACCCCAGGUCAGGCGGGAUCACCCGCUGAGUUU